CCUAUAGGAGAAUGUGAAGCCUUUAGUUGCUCUGAGUUUGUUUAAGCUCUUCUCCACUGAAGAUGUCCCUUUACAUCUGAUGAACCCAGAAGCUGGAAAGCCCUCUGAUUUGAUUCUCACCCUACUUUUGGUGCCUCCCUUGUUUAUCAGACCCUCUGUUGUGAGUGAUUUGAAGUCUGGAUCCAAUGAAGAAGACCAGCCAAUGAAACUGACAGAGAUCAAUUUCCUAAAUGAUGUGAUCAAAAAUAUCAGUGUUUCCCAUUAACUUGUGCAUUCUGCACUUCAUGCAUCUAGAGUUGAUGACUCACUAGAAUGCAAGAAAACUCAGAGCAGGUUUGUUUCUGAUCUUUCUGUACAUCUGCACUGGAUCUUGGGAGCCAAGAUGCAGAUGAUCAUGGAGGACUGGACUUCCUGCAGCUGAGAAGGAGCAGCAAAGAAUGGAAGAGAGACUUCAGAGCAUGCUGAAGCAGAGGGAGCUGGUUACACAGCAAAAACACUUGGCAAUAAAGCUGCAGCAUCAUUUGACUGUCUCCCAGAUGAGAAAAUAUGUAGACCCAGAAAUGAAGAUAAAUGACAGAGAAUAUAUCUCUGUGGACAAUAAACAGUGUCUGUUUCUUGACCAAACUACAUCACAGUAUUCACAUUGAUCAGAGCAAGCUUGCCAGAAGUGGAUGAAGAGGAGCAAUAGAAAACAUUUUUGGAAGUCCAGAUGUUAAUGUUUGUCCUCAGGGAGAGCCGCCACCUAACACCUCUGAAGAACCAACACCUCUACAGGAGGACUAAGUCAGCAGACCAAUAGAUGUGAUUGUGCCUGGAUCACCUGGAAGACAGCUGGUAUUUUCCUCACUGAAACAUCUUUACACAGGAAACAGAUGCAUACUGUAGGGAAC